rnacentral:rRNA from 1 species
UACGGAGGAUCCGAGCGUUAUCCGGAAUUAUUGGGUUUAAAGGGUGCGUAGGCGGCCAUUUAAGUCAGCGGUGAAAUUUUGCAGCUUAACUGUAACAGUGCCGUUGAUACUGUUUGGCUAGGAUUUGGUUGUAGUGUGCGGAAUGUGUAGUGUAGCGGUGAAAUGCUUAGAUAUCACAAAGAACACCGAUUGCGAAGGCAGCACACUAAGUCAUUAUUGACGCUGAGGCACGAAAGUGUGGGGAUCAAACAGGAUUAGAUA